rnacentral:rRNA from 1 species
GAGAUGUGGGUUAGUCCGCACGAGCGCACCCUAUCCUUAGUUGCCAGCACAUUAUGGUGGGGACUCUAAGGAGACUGCCUGGGAUAACUAGGAGGAAGGUGGGGAUGAUGUCAAGUCAGUAUGUCCCUUAUGCUCAGGGCCACACACGUGUUACAAUGGUUGGUACAGAGGGUCGCGAAGCCGCAAGGUGGAGCCAAUCCCCCAAAACCAACCCCAGUUCGGAUUGGAGUCUGCAACUCGACUCCAUGAAGCAGGAAUCGCUAGUAAUCGUGGAUCAGAACGCCACGGUGAAUACGUUCCCGGGUCUUGUACACACCGCCCGUCACGCCAUGGAAGUCAGUAGUACCCGAAUCGAGUGGCUCAACCUUCGGGAGGGAGCUCGUUAAGGUAAGAUUGGUAACUGGGGCGAAGUCGUAACAAGGUAGCCGUAGGGGAACCUGCGGCUGGAUUACCUCCUUUC